rnacentral:rRNA from 1 species
GACGAACGCUGGCGGCGUGCUUAACACAUGCAAGUCGAACGGAAAGGCCCUGCUUUUGUGGGGUGCUCGAGUGGCGAACGGGUGAGUAACACGUGAGUAACCUGCCCUUGACUUUGGGAUAACUUCAGGAAACUGGGGCUAAUACCGGAUAGGAGCUCCUGCUGCAUGGUGGGGGUUGGAAAGUUUCGGCGGUUGGGGAUGGACUCGCGGCUUAUCAGCUUGUUGGUGGGGUAGUGGCUUACCAAGGCUUUGACGGGUAGCCGGCCUGAGAGGGUGACCGGCCACAUUGGGAAUGAGAUGCGGCCGAGACUCCUACGGGAGGCAGCAGGGGGGAAUAUUGCACAAAGGGCGGAAGCCUGAUGCAGCAACGCCGCGUGCGAGAUGACGGCCUUCGGGUUGUAAACCGCUUUCGCCUGUGACGAAGCGUGAGUGGCGGUAAUGGGUAAAGAAGCACCGGCUAACUACG